rnacentral:rRNA from 1 species
UACGUAGGGUGCAAGCGUUGUCCGGAAUUAUUGGGCGUAAAGAGCUCGUAGGCGGUUUGUCGCGUCUGCUGUGAAAACCCGAGGCUCAACCUCGGGCCUGCAGUGGGUACGGGCAGACUAGAGUGUGGUAGGGGAGACUGGAAUUCCUGGUGUAGCGGUGAAAUGCGCAGAUAUCGGGAGGAACACCGGUGGCGAAGGCGGUUCUCUGGGCCUUACCUGACGCUGAGGAGCGAAAGCGUGGGGAGCGAACAGG